GCUCCGGUGGCCUAGUGGUUAAAGCGUCCGCCUCAGAUGCGGAAGGUCGUGAGUUCGAUACCCGGUCGAGUCA